rnacentral:rRNA from 1 species
GACGAACGCUGGCGGCGUGCUUAACACAUGCAAGUCGAACGGAAAGGCCCUGCGUUUGUGGGGUGCUCGAGUGGCGAACGCGUGUGUAACACGCGAGUAACCUGCCCUUGACUUUGGGAUAACUUCAGGAAACUGGGGCUAAUACCGGAUAGGAGCUCCUGCUGCAUGGUGGGGGUUGGAAAGUUUCGGCGGUUGGGGAUCGGUUCGCGGGUUAUCAGCUUGUUAGUGGGGUAGUGGGUUACCGAGGCUUUGACGGGUAGGCGGCCUGAGAGGGUGACCGGCGACAUUGGGACUGAGGGAAGGCCGAGACUGGUAAGGGAGGCAGCAGUGGGGAAUAUUGCAGGAUGGGCGGAAGCCUGAUGCAGAAGCGCUGCGUGCGGGAAGACGGUCUUCGGGGUGUAAACCGAUUUCGCAUGUAACGAAGCGUGAGUGACGGUAAUGGGUAAAGAAGCACCGGCUAACUACGGG